AAGGAUGAAAGGAGAGACGAGGAAGAACAGGGAGACUGAAAUUCUUUGAAAGGGGAUGGCGAAGGUUGUGCUGCUUUUCCGGGAGCACAAAACAGGCAGCAGGACUUGUGGCAGAUGGUAAAAUACAAUGAAAGUUUCUGGAAACUUUCCCAGUCCCUGGCAUAUUCAUCAGGAUUGCUGUAUUUCYUCUGCGGAAAAGAGAAUUGCCUGUUCCCAUGCAGAAGGCUAAAAUGGGAUCCUAGCGCCGUCUUUACAAACCAGCCUUGACGAGCUUGCUGCCUCGCCAUUCACCGCUGUGGAGCUGCAGGAAAGACCCCAUCGUGUCCUACAGCUGGCCCAUUCCUAGAGGGUAUCCUGUAAUCCCGGAUCCGUGGAGCUUUGGAGGAUGCAUGCCCUGCAGCCACGCUGGUGUGACGGGAGCAGGCCGAUGGCCCCCGGGCUGCUACAGAGCCAUCUUAGGGCACCCUG